GACGAACGCUGGCGGCGUGCUUAACACAUGCAAGUCGAACGGAAAGGCCCUGCUUUUGUGGGGUGCUCGAGUGGCGAACGGGUGAGUAACACGUGAGUAACCUGCCCUUGACUUUGGGAUAACUUCAGGAAACUGGGGCUAAUACCGGAUAGGAGCUCCUGCUGCAUGGUGGGGGUUGGAAAGUUUCGGCGGUUGGGGAUGGACUCGCGGCUUAUCAGCUUGUUGGUGGGGUAGUGACUUACCAAGGCUUUGACGGGUAGCCGGCCUGAGAGGGUGACCGGCCACAUUGGGACUGAGAUACGGCCCAGACUCCUACGGGAGGCAGCAGUGGGGAAUAUUGCACAAUGGGCGGAAGCCUGACGCAGCAACGCCGCGUGCGGGAUGACGGCCUUCGGGUUGUAAACCGCUUUCGCCUGUGACGAAGCGUGAGUGACGGUAAUGGGUAAAGAAGCACCGGCUAACUACGUG
rnacentral:rRNA from 1 species